AAUACGAAGGGACCUAGCGUAGUUCGGAAUUACUGGGCUUAAAGAGUUCGUAGGUGGUUGAAAAAGUUGGUGGUGAAAGCCCAGAGCUUAACUCUGGAACUGCCAUCAAAACUUUUCAGCUAGAGUAUGAUAGAGGAAAGCAGAAUUUCUAGUGUAGAGGUGAAAUUCGUAGAUAUUAGAAAGAAUACCAAUUGCGAAGGCAGCUUUCUGGAUCAUUACUGAUACUGAGGAACGAAAGCAUGGSUAGCGAAGAGGAUUAGAUACCCUCGUAGUCCAUGCCGUAAACGAUGUGUGUUAGACGUUGGAAAUUUAUUUUCAGUGUCGCAGCGAAAGCGAUAAACACACCGCCUGGGGAGUACGACCGCAAGGUUAAAACUCAAAUGAAUUGACGGGGACCCGCACAAGUAGUGGAGCAUGUGGUUUAAUUCGAAGAUACGCGCAGAACCUUACCAACACUUGACAUGUUCGUCGCGACUUUAAGAGAUUAAAGUUUUCGGUUCGGCCGGACGAAACACAGGUGCUGCAUGGCUGUCGUCAGCUCGUGCCGUGAGAUGUUGGGUUAAGUCCCGCAACGAGCGCAACCCUCACUUUUAGUUGCCAUCAUUUAGUUGGGCACUCUGAAAGAACUGCCAGUGAUAAGCUGGAGGAAGGUGGGGAUGACGUCAAGUCCUCAUGGCCCUUACGUGUUGGGCUACACACGUGCUACAAUGGUAUCUACAACAGGAGGCAAAACCGCGAGGUUAAGCAAAUCCUUAAAAGAUACCUCAGUUCGGAUUGCACUCUGCAACUCGAGUGCAUGAAGCUGGAAUUACUAGUAAUCGUGGAUCAGCGUGCCACGGUGAAUGCGUUCCCGGGUCUUGUACACACCGCCCGUCACACCAUGGGAGUUGGUUCUACCUUAAGGCAAGGUUUCAAACCCUUGACCACGGUAUAGUCAGC
rnacentral:rRNA from 1 species